rnacentral:rRNA from 1 species
GACAGAGGGUGCAAACGUUGUUCGGAAUUACUGGGCGUAAAGCGCGUGUAGGCGGCUAUGUAAGUCGGGCGUGAAAUCCCACGGCUCAACCGUGGAAGUGCACUCGAAACUGCAUAGCUAGAGUCCUGGAGAGGAAGGUGGAAUGCUUGGUGUAGAGGUGAAAUUCGUAGAUAUCAAGCGGAACACCGGUGGCGAAGGCGGCCUUCUGGGACAGUGACUGACGCUGAGACGCGAAAGCGUGGGGAGCAAACAGGG